rnacentral:rRNA from 1 species
CACGUAGGGUGCGAGCGUUGUCCGGAAUUAUUGGGCGUAAAGAGCUCGUAGGCGGUCUGUCACGUCGGGAGUGAAAACUCAGGGCUUAACCCUGAGCCUGCUUCCGAUACGGGCAGACUAGAGGUAUGCAGGGGAGAACGGAAUUCCUGGUGUAGCGGUGAAAUGCGCAGAUAUCAGGAGGAACACCGGUGGCGAAGGCGGGUCUCUGGGCCGAUACUGACGCUGUGGAGCGAAAGCGUGGGGAGCGAACAGG